CAAGGACGGAAAACCGUGGUGAGGAUGAAGUUCGCGUCCAGCACAAACAUGGAAGAUCCAGCCUACAGUGCCAACCUGCUGCAGCAGUUGAGUGCAGCACUUGCUAAGCAGGGUGUGACUGACUUCAAACUGACCUGGAAAAAACCUCCAGUGAAGACACAAGUGAGCAGUGAAAGCAGUACAAGAUGCUUGAUGAAUCUGUGAGAGCAACUCCCAGAAAGAUGCACGACAGCACAGGUCAUGCAAUGAAGUAACGCUCCAGUUACUCUGGAAACCAAAAAUACAUUAACGUUUGUGCCUUUUAAGUUAAAGACUGGUAUCAUCGCAGCUUAGCCUCGCCUUAUAAAUGUUAUAUUUUCUGUGUGUCAGCUUUCACACUGAAUAAAUGCUGAUUUUAGUUGUAAAUUAAUUUCCA